AUUUAAAUAAUUUAAUUCAAAAUUUAAUAAUGAAAAUAUUAAUACAGACGCCCGUCUUUUAAAUA
rnacentral:tRNA from 1 species